GUUCGCUGCCGCAUAGGCAGCUCAGAAA
rfam:Physcomitrella patens subsp. patens PHYPAscaffold_612 genomic scaffold, whole genome shotgun sequence.